rnacentral:rRNA from 1 species
AUUGAACGCUGGCGGCAGGCCUAACACAUGCAAGUCGAACGAGUGGCGGACGGGUGAGUAAUGUAUGGGAAUCUGCCAGAUGGAGGGGGAUAACUACUGGAAACGGUCGCUAAUACCGCAUACCAUCAGAUGUGCCCAGAUGGGAUUAGCUUGUUGGUGGGGUAACGGCUCACCAAUGCGACGAUCCCUAGCUGGUCUGAGAGGAUGACCAGCCACACUGUAACGGAGACACGGUCCAGACUCCUACGGGAGGCAGCAGUGGGGAAUAUUGCACAAUGGGCGCAAGCCUGAUACAGCCAUGCCGCGUGUAUGAAGAAGGCCUUAGGGUUGUAAAGUACUUUCAGCGGGGAGGCGUUACCCGCAGAAGAAGCACCGGCUAACUCCGUGCCAGCAGCCGCGGUAAUAC